GGAGGAAGGCCAGGCGGAGGAGGAGGAGCAGGAGGUGGCGGAGCGGCGGUCACCUGUUCGAUUCCCUUCGUCUGCGUGUGUGAAGGAAGUUCGAGGCGUAUCUAUAGCAGGACUCGAAUCUAUGUAAAGGAGGACUGUGGAGAGGUCUGCGCCAAUCAGCGGUGAGCACGCCCCACGCCCAGCCAAUCAGCGUCGAGGAGGAGCGGCAGUCGGCCAAUCAGCGCCCAGCCCGUUGAGUUGAUGUUUGAAGCCCCGGAGCAGCGGAGCGUCACGACCAAGCAGCUUGUUCGAGAUCUCGGCGCAUCUGGUGGUUGUCGUGCCCAGACUGCUGAGGUGCUGCUGCUGCUGUCGUCCCUGUGCUGCUGAUGGGACUGGCUCAUACUGCUGCCUUGGUACAUGUUGGACAUCUGUUUGGUCACCACCCUCCUCAGCCCCUCUGCUGCAGAUGUCCAGUGACUCGUCUCCUGUGAAAACUUUCUCGUCAGACUUGUGUGCUAUUGUUUUUAGUACUAAGCAGCCAAAGUUUAAAGUCCUAGACUUCCCAUCUUUUUUUUUUUUUUUUUUUAAUAAUUUUUCCUGCUGUAUUACUGAGCACUGCUUUAGGGAGACUCUUCGAAGUACUGUAACACUGGUGGUAAUAAAAUUUCAACUUCAUAA